rnacentral:rRNA from 1 species
CCCUUAGACGUUCUGGGCCGCACGCGCGCUACACUGACCAGUGCAACAAGCAUCCGUCCUUGGCCGACAGGCCCGGGCAAUCUUUGAACGCUGGUCGUGAUGGGGAUAGACUUUUGCAAUUUUUGGUCUUCAACGAGGAAUUCCUAGUAAACGCAAGUCAUCAACUUGCAUUGAUUACGUCCCUGCCCUUUGUACACACCGCCCGUCGCACCUACCGAUUGAAUGGUCCGGUGAAGCCUCCGGAUUGGCGCGCACCUCGGUGCCGCCGAGAAGUUGGCUAAACCUUACCAUUUAGAGGAAGCUGAAGUCGUAACA